GACAGAGGGUGCAAACGUUGUUCGGAAUUACUGGGCGUAAAGCGCGUGUAGGCUGCUUGGAAAGUCGGAUGUGAAAGCCCUGGGCUCAACCUAGGAAGUGCAUUCGAAACUUCCAAGCUCGAGUUUCGGAGAGGAAGGCGGAAUUCUCGGUGUAGAGGUGAAAUUCGUAGAUAUCGGAAGGAAGACCAGUGGCGAAGGCGGGUCUCUGGACAGUUCCUGACACUGAGGCACGAAGGCCAGGGAGCAAACGGG
rnacentral:rRNA from 1 species